rnacentral:rRNA from 1 species
AACACGUGGGUAACCUGCCCAUAAGACAGGGAUAACUCCGGGAAACCGGGGCUAAUACCGGAUAACAUUUUGAACCGCAUGGUUCGAAAUUGAAAGGCGGCUUCGGCUGUCACUUAUGGAUGGACCCGCGUCGCAUUAGCUAGUUGGUGAGGUAACGGCUCACCAAGGCAACGAUGCGUAGCCGACCUGAGAGGGUGAUCGGCCACACUGGGACUGAGACACGGCCCAGACUCCUACGGGAGGCAGCAGUAGGGAAUCUUCCGCAAUGGACGAAAGUCUGACGGAGCAACGCCGCGUGAGUGAUGAAGGCUUUCGGGUCGUAAAACUCUGUUGUUAGGGAAGAACAAGUGCUAGUUGAAUAAGCUGGCACCUUGACGGUACCUAACCAGAAAGCCACGGCUAACUACGUGCCAGCAGCCGCGGUAAUACGUAGGUGGCAAGCGUUAUCCGGAAUUAUUGGGCGUAAAGCGCGCGCAGGUGGUUUCUUAAGUCUGAUGUGAAAGCCCACGGCUCAACCGUGGAGGGUCAUUGGAAACUGGGAGACUUGAGUGCAGAAGAGGAAAGUGGAAUUCCAUGUGUAGCGGUGAAAUGCGUAGAGAUAUGGAGGAACACCAGUGGCGAAGGCGACUUUCUGGUCUGUAACUGACACUGAGGCGCGAAAGCGUGCGGAGCAAACAGGAUUAGAUACCCUGGUAGUCCACGCCGUAAACGAUGAGUGGUAAGUG